CACCCUAAGUUGGAUCUACACCCAGGCUAGGCCUCAUCUCUGCAGAGCACAGGUCCAUGGGUCAUGUGGAGCCUGAGGACGGGGUCCCUGAUUGCAAAGGUUUGCAGCCCUAUUGGAGACCAGGCAGGAAACACCACAGAAUGUUUGGAAAUGUCAGAAGACAGCUAAGGCCACAGCUGCAGGAGCAUCGCAGAUGAGAAAACCAAGGCUCUGAGACGUUUGAACCACAUGGCCCGUGGGGGAAGGAAAGAGGAUCCAAAGUUAUAUCUGUGCCCGAAGCUCCUGCUCUUACUCAGCCUCUCUCAGGACCGACCCGGUGGAAGGUGGGAAUGGCCUGCUGUGCGUUGCGGGUGUCCAAAGCUGUCUGGAGUAAGACCGAAAACCUCGGGGAAGGCCAGCUGGAGCGUGGGAGAUGCUGCUCUGUUCUUUCCCGCCUGGUGUCCCGCCGGCUGCUAAGUAGUUGUGCCUGAUCAGGGCUCGCCCAGCCCCUCAUGCUCUUCUCCUUUGGAUUCCCAGUGUGGCCUGUGGAAAUAUGUAACAAUGAAAAAGUCAGGAGUCGUGUUUGGGGACCCAGAAACAUUGCUAUAUUUAUUCCCUAUGGGGGAGUGUGCUAGUACUGUCACGCUUCUAAAGACACCUGGAAAAUUAGGGUAUGUUAUAAGAGAAGAUCGAUGGGUUAGCUGUGCCCUCAAGUCAUAGGAACCAUCGUUUUAACAUCCACAGUCAGUCAACAUUACUGCUUACAUGCAAGGUGACAGGACGCCAGGACAGGCUCACCACGACAUGUGUGUCCUGAACGUACUUCAUUGCUUAGCCUCACUUAGAGCCACAACAGGCAAUAAAUGUCUCCCUCACACCACUGUGUCCAGGAUUUCUGCGGUGCCUUCUGCAAUAUCGCAGCGGGGGCCAGAGGUCAUGGUUGGUGGAAAGGCUGAAAACUUGCUCAACUGCAGAAAUCAAACACAAAGAUCCAGAGAGCAUCAAGAUGGGGAAUUCUGCACUUGGGGACUCUUAAAAACUGUCCUCCCAUAGAAGAGGCCCAGAAACUUCCUCUGAGAGUCACCUUUCCUGCCAAACUUCCUUGUAUACAAUUUAUCCCUAUGGAACAAGAUCAAAGGGAAUUCUGGACAAUUUUUUUGUUAUUAACUGAACAAAAUUGAUCUGCAAUUAUUCUAACAGGUAACUGAACCGUGGUCUAGAGAGAAAAUUAAAGAAGAAUCUGGGUUCACUGUGGUCUUUAUUAAUUUCUUCUUUGUCAUGAGUACCUCUCCUGUGUUCUCUGGGCUCCUGCCCGCCCACAUGCAAUUAGGAAAAUUAAAAGAGAGCAGCAGGGCGUCUCUUCCUGGUGCAAUGGGUUGUGUUUCUUUAACUUUGGGGCCUUGAUCUUUUGGAGAAGAUACCACAAAAGGCUAAUACCUCCCAUGGAUGUGAUUUCAUUGAACAGACCCUGAGAAUUGGGACAGCAGAAAUUCUGGCCUGACUUUUGGAUACAUUAUAUGAUAAGAGGUUAGGGUAUCAGAAUAGCCAACCAACUUGUAAGGACCCAGAAGACGAGAUACCAGGUCCCGAUGAAGCAGGGAGCAUUGAGCAGACAACGCAGAGCCGGGAAUUUCAGAGAAUUAGCAAGCCCAACACGAGCACACUGCUCUCUUUUAUAAUUCUGUCCUGUGUAAGCAAGAACUCAUCAAGUUUUCUGAGGCCUUCAUGGUGGAACAGAGAGUCUACCUUCCUCCUCCCAAGGACAGCCUUCGUCCCUCUUGGGACUCAAUCUGGGUAUGUGCUCAGCAGGUUCCCUGAGGGGCCCUCUGGUCCACAGCACCCUGUUUCAUCAGGGGCUGGUACGCUGGACUUGCUUGGAAAUAAUUCUUGGUCAGACCAGGUAUUCUUUCUAACCCUUGAUCUCUUAUGGAGAGAAACUGGGGACAAGAACAACUGUAGGGCAGUCAUUAUCCCUGUGUGUGGUGAGGGGAAAGCUCAGAGCACUAGCUGGAGAAGCCAGGGAAAAGUUUUGAGGGGUCUGGAGUAGGGGUGAGGGCAGUGCAUGGAAGAUGCCCAGGGAGUAAAAGGUGAAACCAGAGUUCAUUGCUGGGCUGUGGAGCUGGAGGAGGCUGAGCUUUGAAAAGAGGCAUCUCUGCCUACCAAACCUCCCCUGAGGGUGAUGUCUCCCUGGAGCGUGGAGCCUCUGGAUCAAAUGGAAGCUGACUGCGCUGGCUGGUGGUGCUGAGGCCCAAUGCGCCUAGGGUGAAGGUUAGACUUGACGUGAAUAUACAGGGUACCACGCUGAGUUUGACUUCAAGGGCCAAAUCGGUGAACUCAGGAAGGGAAUCUUGAUAUAUAUGGAAAAUUCAAACUUCUACUCAACUACUACUACCUACGAGGAUUUGUGAAAAUAAAUUAACCUUUCUGAAACUCAUUCCCUUUAUCCAUUGCAGAGGCUGAAUAAUGGCUCCUGCAAAGAUAUCUACAUCCUAAUCUCAGGAAUUGGUUCCUGCCAUCCUCGCUGCCUUUGUUUAGCACCUGAGAGACAAAUGGACAAUGGCCAGAUGACGUAUAAAAGUACAACUUUGAUCCACUAUCUGUAGCAACCAGCCCCAGAAAACCAGCCCAUUAUCUAUAGCAACCAGCCCAGGAAACUAGUCUGUAAGAAGUCAGAUCACUGUCUCUAGAAACAAUCUGGGAAGCCAAAUAAUAGACCUGUAACAAUUGGCCCCAAAUGGCCAGGAUUUGAUUUAUAACUAACCUAUUCCUUGACAUUUUUUUCCUUCUGAUUUUGGUUUAAGACCAACCAGAGAAAGCCAAAUAUGUACCUCUAAUUAAUCACAUAGGAUGUCCUGCGUCUAGUUAGCACAUCUCCCCACACGUUUCCCCUGCCAAAAACCUCCGGUCAGGGCAAACCCAAUGCUUCUCUUUUGCCAUUAUAAAUCUCUCCCACUCCUCUGCCUGCCAGGGAUAGUGGGUGGCUGACUCCCUUGCUAUACAUA